rnacentral:rRNA from 1 species
UACGUAGGGUGCGAGCGUUGUCCGGAAUUAUUGGGCGUAAAGAGCUCGUAGGCGGUGUGUCGCGUCGGCCGUGAAAACCUGCAGCUUAACUGUGGGCUUGCGGUCGAUACGGGCAUCACUGGAGUUCGGCAGGGGAGACUGGAAUUCCUGGUGUAGCGGUGAAAUGCGCAGAUAUCAGGAGGAACACCGGUGGCGAAGGCGGGUCUCUGGGCCGAUACUGACGCUGAGGCACGAAAGCGUGGGUAGCAAACAGG